rnacentral:lncRNA from 1 species
UUGCGGUGAUGAAAACUCUAAUGAGAAUUUUUGAGAGUUUAAAGCUCUGUGAAACGUCGACUUAUUGUCGAUCUGAGCGGUUACCUGAGCAACUAGAUUAGUUACGGUUUUUGCUAAGGUUUUUUUUUUUUUUUUAUAUAUUUUGAAGUGUGAUUGAACCUUAAUUUUUGUGAUUUAUGUGAUCUGGUUGCUAUGAUGAAACAUCAAAUGAGAUUAUUUGAGAGUUUUGAUGCUCUGUGAAACGUCGACGUUUAUGUCGAUCUGAGCGGUUACCUGAGCAA